rnacentral:misc_RNA from 1 species
AAAGUCGUAACAAGGUCUCCGUAGGUGAACCUGCGGAGGGAUCAUUAACACGUAUCCAAUACAAACCAACUGUGAACUUGUACUUCUCCCUAUCGAUAUAGAUUGCGGCUGAGAGCAUAUGGUGAGUGUCGAUCUGGUCAAUGAUCAGACAGACACGCUCUCUUCAGCUAAGAGCCCUGAGCACUAAAUCUAUAUUGUUAGGCUAUAUUAUACCUAUCACCAUGGUGAAAACCAUACUAACACCUAUAACUUCAUUUUGAACUAAUCAAUCUAUCAGCAGAAAUGCUGACAAGAUAUUACGAAACUAAGAACAACUCUUAGCAAUGGAUAUCUUGGUUCUC